UGGGGGGGAUCCCCAUUUUUGGGGGGGUCCCAUUUGUGUGGGGGGGGUUCCCAUUUGUGGGAGGGGUCCUCAUUUGUGGGGGGGGUCCUCGUUUUUGGGGGGUGUCCCCAUUUGUAGGGGGGGAUCCCAUUUGUGGGGGGGGUCCCCAUUUGUGGGGGGGGGGUCCCAUUUUUGGGGUCCCCCCCCCCCAGGUGGUGCCUUGCUCUGACCGACGCCGCCGGAGCCCUGCGCCCCCCCCUGACCGCGCACAGCCGCCCCAAAGCCCCGGGGGGGGGCGGAGAGUGAGUCCCCCUUCGUUAGGGAGCCCCUCGUUAACGAGCCUCCGCAAUUAGCGGCCCCUCAUUAGCGGCCCCGAUUCGCGACUUGAUUGGGUCUCUCUAUGGGUCUCUAUGGGUCUCUGUGGGGCACUAUUCGUCUCUAUGGGUGUCUGUGGGGUGCUAUGGGGUCUCUAUGAGUUUCUAUGGGUCUCUAUGGGUCUCUAUGGGUCUCUAUGGGUCGCUAUGGGUCUCUAUGGGUCGCUGUGGGUCUCUAUGGGUCGCUGUGGGUCUCUCUAUGGGUCGCUGUGGGUCUCUGUGGGUCGCUGUGGGUCUCUCUGUGGGUCGCUGUGGGUCUCUAUGGGUC
rnacentral:lncRNA from 1 species